rnacentral:rRNA from 1 species
AGUGAACGCUGGCGGCGUGCUUAACACAUGCAAGUCGAACGAGAACGGAUUAUAGCUUGCUAUAAUUGUCAGCUAAGUGGCGCACGGGUGAGUAAUGUAUAGGUAAUAUGCCUCUUACUAAGGGAUAACAAAUGGAAACGUUUGCUAAUACCUUAUACUCCUUAUUAACAUAAGUUAAUAAGGGAAAGAUUUAUUGGUAAGAGAUUAGCCUGUAUUGUAUCAGUUAGUUGGUGGGGUAAUGGCUUACCAAGACUAUGACACAUAACUGGUUUGAGAGGAUGAUCAGUCACACUGGAACUGAGACACGGUCCAGACUCCUACGGGAGGCAGCAGUGGGGAAUAUUGCACAAUGAACGAAAGUCUGAUGCAGCAACGCCGCGUGGAGGAUGACACAUUUCGGUGCGUAAACUCCUUUUAUAUGAGAAGAUAAUGACGGUAUUAUAUGAAUAAGCACCGGCUGACUCCGUGCCAGCCGCCGCCGUAA